rnacentral:rRNA from 1 species
CUCUAGGUCGGGGACAACCACUGGAAACGGCGGCUAAUACCGGAUGUGCCGAAAGGUGAAAGAUUUAUUGCCUAGGAGAUGAGCUCGCGUCUGAUUAGCUAGUUGGUGUGGUAAGAGCGCACCAAGGCGACGAUCAGUAGCUGGUCUGAGAGGAUGAUCAGCCACACUGGGACUGAGACACGGCCCAGACUCCUACGGGAGGCAGCAGUGGGGAAUUUUCCGCAAUGGGCGAAAGCCUGACGGAGCAAUACCGCGUGAGGGAGGAAGGCUCUUGGGUUGUAAACCUCUUUUCUCAGGGAAUAAAAAGUGAAGGUACCUGAGGAAUAAGCAUCGGCUAACUCCGUGCCAGCAGCCGCGGUAAUACGGAGGAUGCAAGCGUUAUCCGGAAUGAUUGGGCGUAAAGCGUCCGCAGGUGGCACUGUAAGUCUGCUGUUAAAGAGCAAGGCUCAACCUUGUAAAGGCAGUGGAAACUACAGAGCUAGAGUACGUUCGGGGCAGAGGGAAUUCCUGGUGUAGCGGUGAAAUGCGUAGAGAUCAGGAAGAACACCGGUGGCGAAAGCGCUCUGCUAGGCCGUAACUGACACUGAGGGACGAAAGCUA